rnacentral:lncRNA from 1 species
UAGUCAAGAUUAGUGGUGCUUUUUACCUGAUGCCUUGUUUUUUUCCUCUUUGGCUUGAUCAAAUCUGUUACUCUCUAAAAUGUUGAACUUGAUUAUGCUGUGUUCUUCAGGGAUAAUCCCAUGUCCUGAUACUUCUAAGCAAAAUUUUCUUUGACUGUCCUGGCCUAUCUCUUUUCUUCUUUGAGUGAUGCUCACAAACCAUAGAUCUGCUCAAGCUGGCUUUUUAUAAAGCCAACUGCGGUGGGGAAGCCAGUGAGGCAUAGAAUCUUGGAUAGGUUUGAUGGAAGACCUGACACAAUCCAAUAUUCACAGUGACUUGAAAAGAGAUAUUGCUUCCUACUUUGUUUAGCUAUGGGCCCUCUCCUCUAAUUCCAUUUUCUAUUGUAAUUGCUCCCUAUUUGAAUUCUUCUGCACAUUAACUCUCCAAAAAACAUUCACGGUUUGCAUUAGAUACCAGAAUUGAUCCAACUGAGUUUUUUAAGUUGUGUGCAUUCCUAUUUGUCCAUCUAGCAAAAGCAAGAAUCUCAUUCCAGGAUAUGAGAGGUAUUUUUCUGACUUGGAUUAGGGGAAUCCACUAGCUGCGUAGCGUUGAGACUUGAGAGCUUCGCCCUCUCAUUCUCAUGGAAGAUUCUCAGGUUUAUUAUAUCUCCUUUCCUCUCCAUGAUUUCAGAGUUGUUUUUCCAGUUGUCAAUUUACAUAGUAAAACUAAUCAUAUUAUAUAAUCAGGUUUUAAUUGAAUGUUAACUAUACCACGGAUAGUAGAAGGGGACAUGAAACAUUGUUUUAAUUGGCUGUAUUUGGAGAAUGUAGAGGAAGAUUCUGUUGACUGGAGCACCAGGAAGCUUUGGAAUUGGAUACAAAAUAAGAAAAAGGAAAAAAAAAUGGUAGAAAGAUGCUUGUCCUUGGACAUUGUUUGAAGGCAAGGAAUGGAAUAAGGAAUACAUUCUCUUUUGUUUCCUUCAGUAAGUUUGGUACUUGUUCAGCCCACAUAGUAUAAAAUAGAAGCGGGGCCCAAUUCUUUUCAUCUUCAAUUGGCAUAAGACAGCCGGCACUGCACCGAUUAAUCCUAAGCAUCUGGGACCCAAUUAAAAGAAAAGAGAAGGAUUGUACUUGCUUCCAUACUAACAUUUGAUGAAGGAAAAGACAAUCCUUGCCCUGGACAUGACUACCUGCCCUUGACUGCUCCGUUGGCCAGUUUCUCCUGUAUGAAUCUACACUCAUAUUUCACCACUUGAUUAUUGAUUUAUGUUCUUUUAAUUUCAGUCUUUUCUAAUAUUUUUGUCAAGACUCUUAGCAUUGCUAUCUUUAUAACUUGUCACUGAAUGAUUAUAUGAACAGAUUAUCUCAUUCUUGUUAUAUUCUAUAAUUUUGCAUGAAUUUGCUCACUGAAUUUCACUACAAAUGUACAGAAGAUAUCAUACACAUAGGGUAACACAAAUGGUGUCUCACUUUCACCUGUACGUCUAAAAGUUUUUAAAUGAGCACACAUGUGAUCUUAUGAACCCAUCUUCAUGCAUGAAUACAAUAGAUCUUGACGUGAUGUUCAUUUUACUAAAACUUGUGCUGCUUAUAAGAGUAUUAGUCUUUACUUAGCUUCUAUAAGAUCAAAGAUAUUGCGUUAUGUUGGACUUUGUAAAAUAAUUAAAUUUUUAGAUUUGCAUUGCCAAAAGACAUGUAUGUGUCAACUGCAUUUUGUCGAUGCUUAUGCAGUUGUAUUGAAUUUCAAUGAAGGAUUUGUUCUUGAGGUGAUCAUAUAGAAUUAUACUCUACAUAUUUAAAAUAGGGAAUAUUAUCUAUAUGAUCAACAGCUAAUGCAGAAUAAAUUCGUAUAUUAAACCACGGAGAAAAAUCUGCCAACUUACAUUAAACCCUUGCAACACAUAUAAUAUUUAUUGAUGAAUGAUGACGUAUUUGAAUGCUUGAUAAACGCCUGAAACAACCAUUGCCAAUAUUUAUAGAAAUUAUUAGACUCUCUAAACUAUAGUGUAACAAAAAUUCCCAUUCCUUGAACAAAAUCCUACUUCCCAUUGGCAUUUUUAGGAAGAUCAAUUUGAUUCUGAUUUGUCAGGAUUUUUUUUUUCUUUUUGCAGUUUGGGAGAAUCUAUGAAAAAACCUUUAGGUAAAGUUUAAAGUGGAAUUCCUAAAUAGUUUGCUGGCAUGUGGAUUGGAAUAAAUUGCAAGAGGCUUGAUAGGGUAACUUGCAAGUUACAAAAUUAUAUCACUUGCACUAGAUGAACCAAAUGUGACCACUUGGAAUUCUGCUAGAAUCAUGCUGAUGUAAUAAUUUUAUAAUCUAAGAUAUAACAAGUGAUAAUGUAUGUUUUAAUAAGCCAAGUAAAUUGGUUAACAUUAACUGAUGAUCUUUCCAUGACAAGAAUAUUAUACAAGAAUUAAUAAAUAUCAGUAAUUAAAAGCUGCUUUUUUCUAUUCUAACUCCUGUAUAACUAAAGAAUUUAAAAUGUAGGAAUCCGUGAAGGUAACAGAUAAACAGAGUCAUUAUUUAUUUUCUAUCAUAUGCAUGAUUUUUCUUCAUUGGAAACUAAUUUAAGUUAAAUGCUUCAUGUUUCAUCAUAUUUUGCACUAUAUAUAAUUGCUGAUGAAUUGUGAUAGACAUUCUAAAGUUUGUAUUGCCUUAGCUGUAAAUAGAAUAAACAUGGGUGUUUUAACUUUCAUUUCAUGUCUCAAGUACAAGAUUAUCUUUGCUUUGGUACAUGUAAAAGUACUUUCUUCCAUGUUGCCAAAAUGCCCUUACUCAUUUUUUUGUCUUGACAAGGGCUCUCUCUGUGGAUGCAACUGUGUAUGCAACUAUGCAUGAGCACUUUUACUUGACAUUUUUAACUUUCUGUUAUCACCUUCCUCUCUCUGUGGAUGAUAUUCUCCACUUUGGAAGAGAGGACUUGGAUUUUUGUUCUUCCUUGUACUUACAUUUCCUUGUAUGGAUUCUUUGUUAUUAUAAUUUACUUUAAGGAUUAGAAGAAUCUCCGAAAAGUGAAACACAUCAUGUAGUAAAGAAUCAUUAUGUUAAGGACUAGUCAA